UACGAACGGUCCAAGCGUUGCGCGGAAUUACUGGGCUUAAAGGGUGCGUAGGCGGGCGCGCAAGUGUCUUGUGAAAGCCCACGGCUCAACCGUGGAACCGCAGGGCAUACUGCGCGUCUUGAGGCCGGUAGAGGCUGCCGGAACUCUAGGUGUAGCGGUGAAAUGCGUAGAUAUCUAGAGGAACGCCAAUGGUGAAGACAGGCAGCUGGACCGGUUCUGACGCUGAGGCACGAAAGCGUGGGUAGCGAACAGG
rnacentral:misc_RNA from 1 species